rnacentral:misc_RNA from 1 species
CGCCCGUGAUUUUCUCGCCGGCAUGACCGACCGCUACGCCGUGGCCCUGUUCGAGAAUCUGUUUAUCCCGAAGCCAUGGGUCGGGCCGUUAGACGUUGACCGCUGACUUUGACCGCCCACGAUUUGACCAUCGACUAUCGACCGUCGACUAUGGACUAUAAUUGUGUGUUCUGCCAGCGGACAAACCGCUGGCAGUGAACCCUUAUGUAUCUCAGCCUGCGGUCCUUACACGACGCUCACCA